rnacentral:misc_RNA from 1 species
AACGCACAUUGCGCUUUUCGGAUAUCCGGGGAGCAUGCACGUUUCAGAAUCACCAAUACCAUCAAAGACUGAAUAGUGUCUCGUGCACUGUCCAGCGCUUUGGAUUUGGAUUCUUUGCACCCCUUUGUUGAUGCAAUAAUCCUAAAGUGAUUGCGUGCACGUCCAAUUUCAGCUUUGGCCGUUCUCAAGUGCGACAAACUCUACUGUUUCCUCGCUUGGGAUUGUUGUCAUAAAUGCUGGUUUGUGCGUGUACCACCCUUAUUCAUUACCCGAUGCGAAAGCUUCUUUCACAUUGGAUUCAAGGUCUGAAAUCGCGCAAGAAAACCCGCUGAACUUAA